rnacentral:tRNA from 1 species
GCGGGCAUCGUAUAUCGGUAAUACAUCAGUUUUCCAAACUGAUAAGGCGGGUUCGACUCCCGCUACCCGCUCCA